GUGAAAUUAUUGGGUUCAUUCGUUCAUACCAAGCCACAUCAGUCACUCGAUCGAGCGGUCGGCAUGAUCUUGAAGCCUUCUCGAUCGUGAAUCCAGUCGCCGACUCGGAAAAGUGGGAGGGAGAUGGCGACUGCGGAGGCGAAGGCGGUGAUCCCGGAGUCGGCUCUGAAGAAGAGGAAGAGGGAGGAGCAGUGGGCUCUGGUGAAGAAACAGGACCUCGACGCCAAGAAGAAGAAGGCCAGGGAGAACCGAAAACUAAUCUUCAGUAGAGCCAAGCAGUAUGCUAAGGAGUAACGAAUCCCAGGAAAAACAGCUGAUUCGUUUGAAGAGAGAGGCCAGGAUGAAGGGUGGGGACGACUGUAGCCCUAAAGCCAAGCUUCUCUUCAUCAUCUGCAUUCGAGGGUGGGCGACACCUUUUCUCUACCCUUUUAAUAUAUAUAUAGUCUAUUAUGUCAUAAAUUGAUUUUCUUUGUUAUUUUGGUAAUUAACAUGUCAUUUCUCUGUUUGCACUUGAUCCAUCAACGCCAUGCACCCAAGAACACGAAAGAUCUUGCCACUCCUUCGUCUCAGACAGAUACUCAAUGGUGUAUUUUUGGAAGUUAACUAGGCCAUGAUGAACAUGUUGCGUCGGGUUGAACCUCAUGUUACAUAGGGAUUGGUGCAGUUGGAAGUGAUACUCUUAAACAUUGAGUGGAUAUAGCAACCUGAUUGAAAGCUCGUGUCGACAGUCCAAGUUAGACCCUUUUGUAGUCUCUUUUCCAACAAUGGUUAUAUACUAGAAUACAUGCUCUUAGACCUAAGUCGAAGGCCAAGACCGCAGCAAUCUGCAAGUCUACCACGGCUUUAAAUGUGAAUAAGAGAAACACGGAAUCUAGCGGCAAAGAGCCCCUGCCUCCCAUCCCAUUAUCCACGUCUUCCGAAGCAGCAGGUAUACAAACGCGCAAGAUCUGAAUGCUGUCAUCGUCACAGAAGUGGAGCCUGUUGUUGGAGCACUGGCAAUUAGGGACGAGGUUGAUAAGAAGAAGAGCACUGGCAAUUCAUUGUCACUUAACCUGAAAAAAUGCUCAGGUGGAUAAGCAGAAGAUUGAUGCAAGGAACUAAGAGCUUGAAAAGACUAUAAUGUAUCUAUCUAUCAGGUGGGGAUAGAGAGUGCAAUUCCACAAAUUGUAAAUCUUAAUCUCGUUCUUUGUACAUUGCUAUAUGCAUGCAACCAACCCUAAUUGCCGAGUAACUUUGCGGUGUGCUGCCUGA